UAUUAUCAAAAGAUUCUGAAAGAAAUAAGAUAAUUUUCAAAGCAUUAACAUGAAUAUGAAAGUCAUUAAUGACCAUCUUUUAUUAUUGUUUAUUUACAGUGUCUUUUAUUCUGCUUACCUGACUCAUGCAGAAUUCUGGCUUGAUGUUUGGUCCACCUGUUAGCUGGCUCUGGUGCUUGGUAGUCUUCUCAAACCUCUGAAUCAAGACCACCAUGAGAGGCCUUCUGAAGACCAUCAUUACGCUGCAGAUCCAGUGGUCUUUACUAUGAGAUAGAACUGAACUGGAGUCUGUGAACUAAUGCUGUGUUUGAGACAACUUGGAUGUUUGAUAUUAUUGACCUCAAACCCAUAAGAAGUCUGGAACAGUAAACAAAGUUGAGUAUCCGACCUCUCAACUUGGGACAGAUCCAUCAACACCGACCUCAACGAGAUGCGUCAUUUGACAUUGCAGACAAGAUCCUUUCUCUUUUUUUAUGCAGCUCUUAAGGAUGAAGCACCCUGAUCUACUAAGAUGCACAGAUUCAACUCUGGCCCAGCAUCAUCCCCACACCUCAUCUGCCAUCAGUUUAAUUUAAUGUCUGUCAAUUGCAAAUGCUAUUUCAGUUAUAUUAUAACUUAAUAUUAACUUUAAUUGAGACUAGUAUUGUGUAAAGCUGGGGUUUCCAAACUUUUCAUUUUAAAACCUAUUAGACAAGUAUAAUCUAUUUUAGACCCACUAAAAUAUUUUUAAAUAUACAUUUUUUUAAUGGGGUAAAACACAUUUGUUCUCUUUCAGUGGAGUCAUUUUAUUUUCAUAAUAUUUCAUAAUGUGAAGAAGUGGUUCUUAACGUUAUUCCUCGAGGCCCACUGCUCUGCACAUUUUGUAUGUCUCUUUUAUCUGACAGACUCAGUUCAGUUCAUUGAGAUCUCUUCUAAUGAGCUGAUGAUUUGAAUCAGGUGUGUUAAAUAAGAGAGACAUACAAAAUGUGCAGGGCAGUGGGCCUCGAGGAAUAACGUUGAGAACCACUGAAAAGUAAAUAAGUUUAUUUGCAAUAUCAAAUAUUUUAUGGUAUAUUCUUUCAAAACCAUUGUCAUUGUUAAUUAUUAAUUGGCCAAACUGUUGUUGCAUCAUUAAGGUGUGCAACACACCUUAACCUACUGUGUGAACGACAAGUGGGUCCUCCUGACCCACAGUUUAAAAUCCCCUGGUGUACUGAAUGUUGUAUUGUAAUUAAAGUCGCAUCAAAGUCUUGUGUAACAGUCUCCAAUAUUUG